GAUGAACGCUGGCGGCGUGCCUAAUACAUGCAAGUCGAGCGAACAGACGAGGAGCUUGCUCCUCUGACGUUAGCGGCGGACGGGUGAGUAACACGUGGAUAACCUACCUAUAAGACUGGGAUAACUUCGGGAAACCGGAGCUAAUACCGGAUAAUAUAUUGAACCGCAUGGUUCAAUAGUGAAAGACGGUUUUGCUGUCACUUAUAGAUGGAUCCGCGCCGCAUUAGCUAGUUGGUAAGGUAACGGCUUACCAAGGCAACGAUGCGUAGCCGACCUGAGAGGGUGAUCCGGCACACUGGAACUGGGACACGGUCCAGGCUCCUACGGGAGGCAGCCGUAGGGAAUCUUUCGCAAUGGGCGAAAGCUUGACGGAGCAACGCCGCGUGAGUGAUGGAGGUCUUCGGAUCGUAAAACUCUGUUAUUAGGGAAGAACAAAUGUGUAAGUAACUAUGCACGUCUUGACGGUACCUAAUCAGAAAGCCACGGCUAACUACGUG
rnacentral:rRNA from 1 species